GGGAACCGUAGUAGCAUGCUAAUGGUUAGGUUGAUUGGUUAGUUAGCGAAUGAUGAAUUCUUGCUUGUUGAUUGAGGUUAGUCAGCUCUUGGUAAGGGAGCGACUAACUGGUUGAGUUGUUUAGUGAUAUUAUUGUUGUUAGUGUUGUAGACUUAGAGUGUAUUGGCCAUAUAGCAUUUGUGUAACCCACAAUGCUACGCAUGUUUGAGGUGGAUUAGUGUUUCCUCGACCUUGUAUCCAUUGGGUUUAAGGAAACCCCUUAUUCGCUGGAUCGAGAACACUCAGAGAGACGGGGUCAUGGCCUAUGGCUGAGUGGUUACACGGACGGGGUAGUGACCGGCAGUGACCCGACUGUACUGGGGCUGUCUCGUGGUGACCCGAUCGUACUGUAGGCCACGAUCGUCGUGUUACAACCGACAGUGGCCCGACUGUACUGGGGCUGUCGCGCGGUGACCCGACUGUACUGUGGGCCGCGUUCGGUUGAAAGUUCCUUCUUCUGGCCUUUGUGGUAGGGAGAUAGGAUAUUGCCGAGGAUAGAGGAGGAACACUAAGUCACAAAAGGGCCCUAGUUAUAGUGUAGAUAGUGUAGAGGGUUGUUGAACCCUAGAUUGGGUUGAGUUUGAGUUUAAGUGGUUAGCUAGUCAUUAGUGGUUAUGAUUUCAUACCGUUAAUUAUCUAGCUAUUAUUAUCUGCUGCGUAUUUCGGAUAUUGCUUAUUGCUUAUCUAUUGGAUCGAUUUAUUGUUAGGUGAACCUCUCGCUUUAGAUUGUUUGGGGUGGGAUAGCGAGGGGUUGUAUUUGUUAGUCGGGGAUCAUAAUUCACUGAGUAACAUUAGGUUACUCAUCCAACUCCGUUUUCCUUUUUGCAGGUCGUUUUAGGUAAGGAUGAUUGGAUAGCUUGGUGUUGGACGUUAGGACCGCCGGUGUAGAUUUUCAUGCCUUUCGUAAACGGUAUUGUGUUAUGUGUUUUGUUGGCUCGAUUUGGCAUUAGGCCGGGCCCCAGUCUUGAAUUAUUUCAAUGUAUGAAUAUUUCUUGAAUCAAUAAAGUAAAUGUUUUAUAUGCGCUUCAUGAGUACUCUGAU
rnacentral:lncRNA from 1 species